rnacentral:misc_RNA from 1 species
AAGGCCGGCAUGAGAAAAUAUAGUCUCACCAUUUAGUAUUUACUUUUAUAAAAAUAUUAUAAGUAGUUGUAAACGGGGAAGACAAUUUUAUAACAGUGAAAUAAUUGGAAACUUAAAAUGAUGUAGAAAACACUCAAUAUGUGGAUUUGAAAUUUUAGAUUAUUUUCAUCUUGAAAAUGGCAACUGAUGGUUGUCCACAUCUUGUGAAAGCUAUUUAUAACUUUAAAGGUUCAAACAAUGAUGAGUUAAACUUUAUAAAAGGAGACAUAAUCACUGUGACUCAGAUAGUUGAGGGAGGAUGGUGGGAAGGAACAUUGAAAGAGGUAACAGGAUGGUUUCCUAGCAACUAUGUAAAAGAAUAUAGACCAGAUUCUUGUAGAAGAUCUAAACAACCAGUUUCCAAACAUGCAGACUUUGCCUUGUCUGUUCAUCAAGAAAACUUGGAACUAUAUAGAGAAGUGGUGUUUAAUGACAUUGUUGAAUCAGAAACUAAUCAUGUUCAAGAACUCCAAAAUUUGAUGAAAAAAUUUCUUCAAUCUUUGCAGACAAGUGAUAUAUUAAAUGAAAAGGAGUUUGCCACACUCUUAGGAAACCUAGAUGAAUUAGUGGAUUGUCAUGCAACAUUAUUGGAUGAACUUGAAGGUCUUAGAAAAAAAAAUGCCAAAGAUCAGCGAAUAGGGGGUGUGUUCAUGCAAUCUGCUUCCAAUCUGAAGAUAGCCCACUUAAACUAUUGUGCAAAUCAUCCUAAAGCUGUAGCUGUGAUUGAAACACAUAAAAAUGUACUAUGCAGGUUUAUGGAAGAACAUGGUGCCCCGGCACCAGGAAUCCUACUUUUAACUUCUGGGCUUAGCCAACCAUUCAGAAGGUUAGAAAAAUAUCCUGGUUUACUUCAGGAGUUGCAGAGGCACACAGAGGAAAGCCAUGUUGAUAGAGGAGAUGUCCAGCGAGCCAUUUCAGUUUAUAAAGAAUUAGCUGAUUCCUGUAUAGCCAUGAGAAGGCAGAAGGAAAUGGAGCUGGAGGUAUUGGUAGGAAAGAUUCGAGGAUGGGAAGGAGAAAAUGUAAAUAAGUUAGGAGAAAUUAUUAACAUGGGACCUGUAAUUACUGUAACUGAAGUACAAGAACGUAAAGACAGAUACUUUGUUCUUUUUCCUCGCACUCUAGUCAUGCUUUCUGUGAGUCCACAUAUGAGUACCUUCAAUUAUGAAGGAAAACUUCCUCUCUCUGGUAUUGAUGUCAAUAAACUUCAAUCUAAUGAUAGAAUUCAGAAUGCUUUUGUAAUUACAGGAAAGAUGAUCCAGAGGAUAAUAGUGGUAUGCCACAGUAGGGACUCAAUGGAACAGUGGUUACAGCUGUUACAACAACAGAUCUCUAUCAGUCAGCUCUCUGGUGGAGUUGCCAUUCCACAAAACUCCUCUCGAGGUCCUAAAACACAUAGUAAUCUCUCUCAUAUUUCCCAACUUCAUAUCACAGUAUCUCAGGGUCAAGCAAACCAUUUGCUCCCUCCACAGCCUUCUCCUCCUCCACAUCAAAGUGUAGUAGGAUCAUCAUGCACUGGGCUGGUAAAUGUCAAUGGUAUGAAAAAAACUCCAUCAACAACAAGUCAAACUGUGUCUAGUUCAGAGAGAGUGUGGAAGAUGUGGAGCCUUAAACCUCACCCACCAAUGCGAUCGUGUUUUGGGUUGUCAGCUAAAGAAGAUAUUGUUCUCAGGAGGGCCAAGGCUGGAUGUAAGGAUAGAGAAGUAGACGAGAAACAUUAUGAAGAUGACAUCAAAAUAUUACAAGUGAUAGAAGCAUACUGUAACAGUGCAAAAGCAAGAUACACAGUCAAUUCAGGAAAUACUGCUAACCUCACUCAAAAGAUCUAGGAUGAAGAUUUUGUUUUUAAUAGAGCCUGAUCAAGGAAAUUGAAGUCAAGUCUUGAUUAGUGCAGAGUAACAAUGGACCUUCGUCAUUUAAUGGCUUUACGUAGUCAGGGUGGGUGGGUGAAUGACCAAGACACAGAUGAUUAUGCUAAUCCUUCUUCUCGAACAACCACCUGGUGUUGUGGUACU